rnacentral:rRNA from 1 species
GACGAACGCUGGCGGCGUGCUUAACACAUGCAAGUCGAACGGAAAGGCCCUGCUUGCAGGGUACUCGAGUGGCGAACGGGCGAGUAACACGUGGGUGAUCUGCCCUGCACUUCGGGAUAAGCCUGGGAAACUGGGUCUAAUACCGGAUAGGAGCCAUUUUUAGUGUGAUGGUUGGAAAGUUUUUUCGGUGUAGGAUGAGCUCGCGGCCUAUCAGCUUGUUGGUGGGGUAAUGGCCUACCAAGGCGGCGACGGGUAGCCGGCCUGAGAGGGUGGACGGCCACACUGGGACCGAGGGACGGCCCAGACUCCGACGGGAGGCCGCAGGGGGGAAGAUUGCACAAUGGGCGCCAGCCUGAUGCAGCGACGCCGCGUGGGGGAUGACGGCCUUCGGGUUGUAAACUCAUUUCGCUAGGGACGAAGCUUUUUGUGACGGUACCUAGAGAAGAAGCACCGGCUAACUACGUG